rnacentral:rRNA from 1 species
UACGUAGGGUGCAAGUGUUAUCCGGAAUCACUGGGCGUAAAGCGUCUGUAGGUGGUUCGAAAAGUCCACUGUUAAAGAUUGAGGCUUAACUUCAAAAAUGCCGUGGAAACUUUCAAACUAGAGUAUGGUAGGGGUAGAGGGAAUUUCCAGUGGAGCGGUGAAAUGCGUAGAUAUUGGAAAGACCACCGAUGGCGAAGGCACUCUACUGGGCCAUUACUGACACUGAGAGACGAAAGCUAGGGGAGCAAAUGGG